GCCCGGAUGGCGGAAUCGGUAGACGCGGCGGUCUCAAACACCGCUGGUGGAAACACUGUGUGGGUUCGAGUCCCACUCCGGGCACCC
rnacentral:tRNA from 1 species